rnacentral:lncRNA from 1 species
AUGUUCCCGAGGCGACCAUCGGAGACACCAAAGCAGCCGGAUCCCAUCGUCCAUGACUUGGCCGGAGUUGGUUUCUCCUUGGCUUGGGAUUGGUCUCUCGUUGAUGAUGGAGAUCAGUUUGUCUGUCGAAGCAGUUUGCCCAUCGGCGAUUCAUUCAGCGAUGCAAAGGAGUUACAAUGGGUGGUGAUUACCUUUGUUGCGCUUUAUGCAAAACUGCUGAAAAUUAAGGUUUCUGCUACGUUCUGCUCUCUGAGUGUAAGUGUCUGUGAUGUGGUGAUGCCUUCACUCGAGGUGUUUCAUCUGUGCUCUCCCAUGGCAACCCCUGAUGGCAUCCUCCGUCGACCUGGUUUUGUUAUGACCAGUUGCAUCGCCGGCAACAUCAUCGGCAAUCGCAGGAGCUCGCCGCGCCGCGCCGGUAAAAUCGAGCGGAGGUGAGUCAAAUUUA